UAUAGAGGUUAUAACCAUUUCUGAAUGCCUACUUACUUCCCAUCCACUCUGUAUAUUCAAAAAGCUCUAAUAUCCAUGUAGUUGGCCUGUAUUUUAUUUCUACAAAGUGUUGGUACUCAUACCAUGGCAUUUUACACACCCUUGACUUGUACGAUGAUGGGACUAUAGGAUGGAAAUACAUUCUAAUCUGUUGUACUAUACUAAUUACAGAAGCCAACGAGUGACCAACAUCGCCUACGAGCGCGUUCAACUAUCUGCUUAUCCACGACAAUGCUUAUCGAGUGUAAAGAAAUCAUUCCAUUCUGUAUGUUCUUUAUACGCCUUGUAUAUUUUUCUACUAAAUUUUGUUGCUGUACCUGUCUGCUGAGGUAAACGAUUAAUCGAUCCUACGAACAACGUCUGUGCAUGCAAACUAAAGAAAAACAGGCACUUGAGCAUUUUCUUCCGAGAGCAGGCUUAAUUUAAUUAAAAAUCUGAUUCCACUUUGUCAUAAAUAAAAUCAAGGUCUGGAAAUUAUUACAUUUUUUUUAUAAAAAGCUGGCACAUUGAAACAUUAAUACUUUUAAUGAUAGCGCCGAAAGCUGAUGAUAUGUGGUGGUUUACGGCUGUGCUGCCUGUCGCGUGUUAUUUUGUAGUUAAUUGUGGUGGUGUGUGGUUGUCUGUGCUGGGUGUUUAUGUGACAGUGUAUUAUGUGCUUUGAAUUUCCAUCGGCUGUUUCGAUCCUACACAAAGCAGUUGUGCCUCGUGAUUUCUGGGAAUGGAGAAAGUUUCCUUAAGUCUGUGGUCGGCUGUUGGGCGAGAAUCGAGUUAUAAAUUCCGUACCAGAGCUACGAAAGGAAAGGAGGGAAUCUUCAGCUACGUUUCGGUGUCUAUUUUUAACGCGAACGUUCGCAUACCGACUGCUGUUAUUCCAUCAAGAUGUGGUUAAAACGCUGUUGGCUGCUCGACAAAGAGCCAACCACUCCGCUGUGCGCAUGCGCGAAUUCGAUUGCCUGUUGGUUGGUACGCCUCAUACAGCUUUCGUACGUGCUGUCAGCUCUCGCUUGGGCGGUGAGUCCAAGGACGAACGAAAGAAUUGGCUAGUGAAUAGCAUUUCUUCCUCGGGUGUAUUUGCAGAACCAUUUAGACCGGUGACUGGAUUCCAGACACUGGAAAGACGGAGAGAUUGUGAAGCUCCGUGAUUUAUAAAAGUACUCGUAUAAGGAAGGCGCUGUUUACACGAGCCAUAAAUUGUUAUGGGAUUUAACACUGAAUAUUAAGUUAAAUUAUCAAAAAGUCUUACGAACAUUAAUUGUAAAGAAUAAUGCUCUCGACGACUGGCGAAUUUUGUAAUGUAAUAAUUGAUUAUGGACUUAACGUCAGCUCUGUUAAUCAGACAAACAAGAAUUCUGAAUUUGACUUACAAACCGAAAUUUUUGCGACAACUCCCGAGAGUAGA